rnacentral:rRNA from 1 species
GACGAACGCUGGCGGCGUGCUUAACACAUGCAAGUCGAACGGAAAGGCCUCUUUCGGGGGGUACUCGAGUGGCGAACGGGUGAGUAACACGUGAGUAACCUGCCCUUGACUUUGGGAUAACUUCAGGAAACUGGGGCUAAUACCGGAUAGGAGCUCCUGCUGCAUGGUGGGGGUUGGAAAGUUUCGGCGGUUGGGGAUGGACUCGCGGCUUAUCAGCUUGUUGGUGGGGUAGUGGCUUACCAAGGCUUUGACGGGUAGCCGGCCUGAGAGGGUGACCGGCCACAUUGGGACUGCGAGACGGCCCAGACUCCUACGGGAAGCAGCAGUGGGGAAUAUUGCACAAUGGGUGGAAGCCUGAUGCAGCAACGCCGUGUGCGGGAUGACGGCCUUCGGGUUGGAAACCGCUUUCGCUCAUGACGAAGCUUUGUGUGACGGUAGUGGGUAAAGAAGCACCGGCUAACUACGUG